GACCGGCAAACGGGUGCUGGAACACGUACAGAACCUUCCUUUAAGUGGGGCAUAGCCCGGAGAAAUCCGGAUUAAUACCCCGUAAUAUUAAGUUGUGGCAUCACAUUUUAAUUAAAGAUUUAUCUCUUAGAGAUGGCUGUGCGGCUGAUUAGGUAGUUGGUGUAGGUAAAGGCUCACCAAGCCAACGAUCAGUAACUGGUGUGAGAGCACGACCAGUCACACGGGCACUGAGACACGGGCCCGACUCCUACGGGAGGCAGCAGUAAGGAAUAUUGGUCAAUGGAGGCAACUCUGAACCAGCCAUGCCGCGUGAAGGAUGAAGGCCCUCUGGGUUGUAAACUUCUUUUAUCUGGGACGAAACACUCUUAUUCUUAAGAGCUUGACGGUACCAGAGGAAUAAGCACCGGCUAACUCCGUGCCAGCAGCCGCGGUAAUACGGAGGGUGCAAGCGUUAUCCGGAUUCACUGGGUUUAAAGGGUGCGUAGGUGGGUUUGUAAGUCAGUGGUGAAAUCUCCGUGCUUAACAUGGAAACUGCCAUUGAUACUAUAGGUCUUGAAUUUUCUGGAGGAUAGCG
rnacentral:rRNA from 1 species